rnacentral:rRNA from 1 species
AUUGAACGCUAGCGGGAUGCUUUACACAUGCAAGUCGAACGAGUGGCGGACGGGUGAGUAAUAUAUCGGAACGUGCCCAGUAGCGGGGGAUAACUACUCGAAAGAGUGGCUAAUACCGCAUACUCUUGGAGCGGCCGAUAUCGGAUUAGCUAGUGGGUUGGGUAACGGCUCACCAAGGCAACGAUCCGUAGCGGGUUUGAGAGGACGACCAGCCAGACUGGGACUUAGACACGGCCCAGACUCCUACGGGAGGCAGCAGGGGGGAAUUUUGGACAAUGGGGGAAACCCUGAUCCAGCCAUCCCGCGUGUAUGAGAAGGCCUUCGGGUUUUAAAGUACUUUUGGCAGAGAAGCGGUAUCUGCAGAAUAAGCACCGGCUAACUACGUGCCAGCAGCCGCGGUAAUAC